AUACGGAGGGUGCAAGCGUUGUCCGGAUUUAUUGGGUUUAAAGGGUGUGUAGGCGGUGUAUUACGUCAGUGGUGAAAGCCUGCGGCUCAACCGUAGAACUGCCAUUGAUACUGACACACUUGAGUUUGGUUGAGGUAGGCGGAAUUUAUGGUGUAGCGGUGAAAUGCAUAGAUACCAUAAAGAACACCGAUAGCGAAGGCAGCUUACUAAGCCGAAACUGACGCUGAGGCACGAAAGCGUGGGGAGCGAACAGGAUUAGAAACCCCAGUAGUCC
rnacentral:rRNA from 1 species